UACGAAGGGGGCUAGCGUUGUUCGGAAUUACUGGGCGUAAAGCGCACGUAGGCGGAAUGUUAAGUCAGGGGUGAAAUCCCGGGGCUCAACCCCGGAACUGCCUUUGAUACUGGCAUUCUCGAGUCCGGAAGAGGUGAGUGGAAUUCCGGGUGUAGCGGUGAAAUGCGUAGAUAUCCGGAGGAACACCGGUGGCGAAGGCGGCUUCCUGGACCGACACUGACGCUGAGGCGCGAAAGCUAGGGGAGCAAACGGG
rnacentral:rRNA from 1 species